rnacentral:rRNA from 1 species
GGGUGAGUAACACGUGAAUAACCUACCUCAAAGUCUGGGAUAACCAUUGGAAACAGUGACUAAUACCGGAUAAAACCCAAGUGCACAUGCACUAAGGUUAAAAGCUGCGUUUGCAGCGCUUUAAGAUGGAUUCGCGGUGCAUUAGUUAGUUGGUGAGGUAAAGGCUCACCAAGACGAUGAUGCAUAGCCGAGUUGAGAGACUGACCGGCCACAUUGGGACUGAGACACGGCCCAAACUCCUACGGGAGGCUGCAGUAGGGAAUCUUCCACAAUGGGCGCAAGCCUGAUGGAGCAACGCCGCGUGUGUGAUGAAGGCUUUCGGGUCGUAAAGCACUGUUGUAUGGGAAGAACGGGUUUAAGAGGAAAUGCUUAGACAGUGACGGUACCAUACCAGAAAGGGACGGCUAAAUACGUGCCAGCAGCCGCGGUAAUACGUAUGUCCCGAGCGUUAUCCGGAUUUAUUGGGCGUAAAGCGAGCGCAGACGGUUGCUUAAGUCUGAAGUGAAAGCCCACAGCUCAACUGUGGAAUGGCUUUGGAAACUGGGCAACUUGAGUGCAGUAAAGGUAAGUGGAACUCCAUGUGUAGCGGUGGAAUGCGUAGAUAUAUGGAAGAACACCAGUGGCGAAGGCGGCUUACUGGACUGCAACUGACGUUGAGGCUCGAAAGUGUGGGUAGCAAACAGGAUUAGAUACCCUGGUAGUCCACACCGUAAACGAUGGAUACUAGUUGUUAGAGGGUUUCCGCCCUUUAGUGACGAAACAAACGCAUUAAUUAUCCCGCCUGGGGGAGUACGACCGCAAGGUUUGAGACUCAAAGGAAUUUGACGGGGGACCCGCACCAGCCGGUGGAAGCAUGUGGGUUUAAUUCCAAAGCAACGCGGAAGAACCUUUACCAGGUUCUUGACGUGCC